UGACACAGUUUUGGUAAUUUUGCCUCUGUACACCACCACAGUGGAUUUGAAAUGAAGCAGUCAAGAUGUGA